AACCGGAUUAGAUACCCUGGUAGUCCAUGCCGUAAACGAUGAGUGCUAAGUGUUGGAGGGUUUCCGCCCUUCAGUGCUGCAGCUAACGCAUUAAGCACUCCGCCUGGGGAGUACGAUCGCAAGGUUGAAACUCAAAGGAAUUGACGGGGGCCCGCACAAGCGGUGGAGCAUGUGGUUUAAUUCGAUGCUACGCGAAGAACCUUACCAGGUCUUGACAUCUUCUGCCAACCUAAGAGAUUAGGCGUUCCCUUCGGGGACAGAAUGACAGGUGGUGCAUGGUUGUCGUCAGCUCGUGUCGUGAGAUGUUGGGUUAAGUCCCGCAACGAGCGCAACCCUUAUUGUUAGUUGCCAGCAUUUAGUUGGGCACUCUAGCAAGACUGCCGGUGACAAACCGGAGGAAGGUGGGGAUGACGUCAAAUCAUCAUGCCCCUUAU
rnacentral:rRNA from 1 species